rnacentral:rRNA from 1 species
CCUACGGGAGGCAGCAGUGGGGAAUAUUGGGCAAUGGAGGAAACUCUGACCCAGCGACGCCGCGUGCGGGAUGAAGGCCUUCGGGUUGUAAACCGCUUUCAGCAGGGAAGAAGCGAAAGUGACGGUACCUGCAGAAGAAGCACCGGCUAACUAUGUGCCAGCAGCCGCGGUAAUACAUAGGGUGCAAGCGUUGUCCGGAAUUAUUGGGCGUAAAGAGCUCGUAGGUGGUUCGUCACGUCGGAUGUGAAAAUCUGGGGCUUAACCCCAGACCUGCAUUCGAUACGGGCGAGCUUGAGUAUGGUAGGGGAGUCUGGAAUUCCUGGUGUAGCGGUGGAAUGCGCAGAUAUCAGGAGGAACACCAAUGGCGAAGGCAGGACUCUGGGCCAUUACUGACACUGAGGAGCGAAAGCGUGGGGAGCGAACAGGAUUAGAUACCCUGGUAGUCCACGCCGUAAACGGUGGGCACUAGUUGUGGGGACCUUCCACGGUCUCUGCGACGCNGCUACGCAUAGUGCCCGCCGUCGGGAGGUACGAGUCGCGAGAGUAAACGUACGAAGUUAAGUUAGUAGCGUUGAGACGNGCGAGGACGACGACGAGGGAGAGG